rnacentral:rRNA from 1 species
UACGUAGGGGGCGAGCGUUGUCCGGAUUUAUUGGGCGUAAAGAGCGCGUAGGCGGUUCGUUAAGUCUGUCGUGAAAUCCCCGGGCUCAACCUGGGAAUGGCGAUGGAUACUGGGCAGCUAGAGUGUGUCAGAGGAUGGUGGAAUUCCCGGUGUAGCGGUGAAAUGCGUAGAGAUCGGGAGGAACAUCAGUGGCGAAGGCAGCCCCCUGGGAUAAUACUGACGCUCAGGCACGAAAGCGUGGGGAGCAAACAGG